rnacentral:rRNA from 1 species
UACGUAGGGGGCAAGCGUUGUCCGGAAUCAUUGGGCGUAAAGCGCGUGUAGGCGGCCCGCUAAGUCCGCUGUGAAAGUCCAGGGCUCAACCCUGGAAUGCCGGUGGAUACUGUCGGGCUCGAGUCCGGAAGAGGCGAGUGGAAUUCCUGGUGUAGCGGUGAAAUGCGCAGAUAUCAGGAGGAACACCGAUGGCGAAGGCAGCUCGCUGGGACGGUACUGACGCUGAGACGCGAAAGCGUGGGGAGCAAACAGG